rnacentral:lncRNA from 1 species
CUUAAUAACUGUUUUGGGGAGGGCCAGGGUGCACAUAAAGAACGUUGGCAGGGAAGAAAACACUGCAUUUGUCAGCUGAAGCCUUCCAGCCUGGUUGAUGAAAGAUGAGAGGCCAGUCAAUGGCGUAGAUUAGGAGUACCAGGAAGCAUUAUUAGUAGCCUUGCACUGUUGACUGAAAUGGAAGAUAAGCGAGAAUGCCCAGCUGAUUGCAGAGUUCCUUGAACUGUGGGCAAGGUGGUGUGCCCGCAUCAUGCUCCAGACUCCAGAGUGAAAAACUAGUUGUGUGAAAAAACCUUCAGAUGAUACGAGGUGAGCCACACUUUGUCGGCCUCGAUGGUGUGUUGUCCUCUCAGAAUAAUUGCUCGCAUCUCGUCAGCCAUCCUAGCAGGUCUUCUUUCCCAUCGUAAGUGUGGAACUCGAGCUUGUGGUAACGAGCAAUGGCAACUCCAAUGUUUGAGAAUAUUGAGGCGGUGUCCGCUAAGGUCCCUGCCACCAAGGGAUCUCGGAAGGGGAUGGGGAAAUUGGAUUUGGUGGAUUAGAAUUGGUUGGUUUGGUGGGUGCUCGAUGUUGCAGUGUGGAGUGACGGACUGUAGGAUGCUGGUGAGACAUCCGACACCAUUCUCGUUAUGUCUUCAGCGCUUGGGAUGGAACGAUGGCUCACUAGCUUGCUGCUGUUGGUCACCAUCCUAAGAACUUGGCUUGGUCUCUGAUACCAAAUUGAUAACGGAUUUGUAGGGAGUAGUUGGGGGAAGGAGAGACAACCAACGCUUUCCAUGACUACUAUUGUGCAGGCAUCAUCAAGCUUCAGGGGACAAACGGGCACAGAGUGCAACAUGGGCACAAGGCACAGGUGCAACUUCUGAACUUCUGAGUUGUCCUGCUUAAUUACCCAAGGAUUCCCUAAUUAGCCUAAGAAACUCCAAU